rnacentral:rRNA from 1 species
AGAACGAACGCUGGCGGCAGGCUUAACACAUGCAAGUCGAACGCCCCGCAAGGGGAGUGGCAGACGGGUGAGUAACACGUGGGAACAUGCCCAAAGGUACGGAAUAUUCCCGGGAAACUGGGAGCAAUACCGUAUGUGCCCGAAAGGGGAAAGAUUUAUCGCCUUUGGAUUGGCCCGCGUCGGAUUAGCUAGUUGGUGGGGUAAAAGCCUACCAAGGCGACGAUCCGUAGCUGGUCUGAGAGGACGACCAGCCACACUGGGACUGAGACACGGCCCAGACUCCUACGGGAGGCAGCAGUGGGGAAUAUUGGACAAUGGGCGAAAGCCUGAUCCAGCAACGCCGCGUGAGGGAUGACGGCCUUCGGGUUGUAAACCUCUUUCAGCAGGGACGAAGCGCAAGUGACGGUACCUGCAGAAGAAGCACCGGCCAACUACGUGCCAGCAGCCGC